rnacentral:rRNA from 1 species
UCCUUAGAUGUCCGGGGCCGCACGCGCGCUACACUGAAGGAAUCAGCGUGGCUUUCUCCCUGACCCGAGAGGGUUGGGAAACCCGUUGAAUCUCCUUCGUGAUAGGGAUUGGGGCUUGAAAUUGUUCCCCAUGAACGAGGAAUUCCCAGUAAGCGCGAGUCAUAAGCUCGCGUUGAUUACGUCCCUGCCCUUUGUACACACCGCCCGUCGCUACUACCGAUUGAACGGUUUAGUGAGGGCCUCGGAUUGGUCUCGGCCCGCUCUUUACCGGGCGGCGCCGUUGGUCGAGAAGACGCUCGAACUUGAUCGUUUAGAGGAAGUAAAAGUCGUAACA